rnacentral:ncRNA from 1 species
AAGACGAAAGGGCUAAGUAUCCGAAAGGGUGCGGCGCAAAGCUAGAGGCCUAAAAGCCUGAAAAGGUUCACGGCGGCUCGGUUGCCGAA